rnacentral:rRNA from 1 species
AGUGAACGCUGGCGGUAUGCCUAACACAUGCAAGUCGAACGGCAGCACAGUAAGAGCUUGCUCUUACGGGUGGCGAGUGGCGGACGGGUGAGGAAUACAUCGGAAUCUACUUUUUCUUGGGGGAUAACGUAGGGAAACUUACGCUAAUACCGCAUACGACCUACGGGUGAAAGCAGGGGAUCUUCGGACCUUGCGCGAUUGAAUGAGCCGAUGUCGGAUUAGCUAGUUGGCGGGGUAAAGGCCCACCAAGGCGACGAUCCGUAGCUGGUCUGAGAGGAUGAUCAGCCACACUGGAACUGAGACACGGUCCAGACUCCUACGGGAGGCAGCAGUGGGGAAUAUUGGACAAUGGGCGAAAGCCUGAUCCAGCCAUACCGCGUGGGUGAAGAAGGCCUUCGGGUUGUAAAGCCCUUUUGUUGGGAAAGAAAAGCAGCAGGUUAAUACCCCGCUGUUCUGACGGUACCCAAAGAAUAAGCACCGGCUAACUUCGUG